GCAGGCUGACAGGCUGGCAGCAGCAGAUGCUGGGGCGCGUGAAGGGGCGCGUGAAGGUCACCUGCCUCGCGCCUCAGGCCUGCCUGGCUGGAGCUGGUGGACGCGCUGGAAGGAUCUGCUGCUUGGCCACUCCCUCCCCCACAGCCUCACGUGUUUCCUCCGAGCGGAACUUCUUCACACAGGCCCACAGGAGGGGAUCCAUAAACCAGGCUCAUUAACCAGCUGAAAGGCAAGUAGCUGGGGACCCGGGCUGUGGCGCUAGGAAGAUUCAAACACACCACAUUUGUUUAUUUUCUUAAAAGUUUCUGAGCGAAUGUAUAUUUCUGCAUGUUUAGAGAUUGGCAGCCCCAGAAAAUGAAGUUUAUUUAUCCACCAGAUACACAUCACAUAAACAGCUGCACACGGCUCUGCCUCCCCAAGAGGCUGCGGCACUGGCAGCUGAGCGACGGCCCCACGUUCCUGCACACUCUGCCCUCAGCCCGGCCUUGGGGUGAGCCUGUGGGAGGCGGGCAGCCUGCUUCUGGCACUGGGUGGGGUUGAGACCAAAGCUCUAUGCACUGGGGAGAGCUUCCAGAAUCUUCUCUGGCAGUUGCAAAUCAUUUCAUUGAUGUGUUCACUCAACAAUCAAUGCUUGUUCCCAGGCCCUGUGUUAGACUCUGUGGAUGCCCAGAUCAGACUGGCCCCUGGCAAGCCCUCCUCUCCCAGUGGAGAGCCUGGAGAAGCAGUGUCCUGAGGGGCCUGCCUGUCCCUUCUGUUACCCCAGCAGCGACAGCUGUCCCUCGUCCUCCUCCAGCUCCGUUCCCAUGAGUGCCUGGGGAAGUGAGCUCAAGGACGCUUCCGGAAAUGAGAAGAGGUCAGGAUGUUAAAGUGUUUGGAAGUCAUUCUUUGCUCUCCAUGAAACUCCGCAGUGGCUGGGGACCACUCUGCAUCUGCACGUGUUUUAAUUUAUUAAAUGCGGACGUCCGAAAACCCCGGAGCCAGACCCCUGGGCUGCUGAAGGGAUGUAUCAGACCUUUCCUCUUCCUCUGCAUCUCAGGGCAGGUAACAUGAGUGAGCAAGGGGAGUCAGCCCUGGCAAGCUGGCCCCAGAGCUAUGGCCCCUGGGAGGCUAGCUUGGCAAGAGGGCUCGAAUGCUAUUUUCCUUUCUAGGAAGAGCAGUUUACACUUACUAGAUGGAUUGUCAUUGGACCAGGAGAGGCAGAGGUUGCAAUUUCUUGUCCCCAAAUUGCUUUUCUUGGGAACCUUGCUGCCCUUGAGUCAGUCCCUUCCUUUCUCUCCAGCCAGGGAACAGCAGGACUCGCGGGCAGCCCUGGAUCUCACAGACAGGUGCAGCACAGCUGGGAGGGUGGCCUCCCAGCACAGUGGGACUUGGACAAUGGCCAAGAUGUGCCUUUGGAUGGACUAGGAGAUGGGAGAGGGCCACAAGGACAAGGGCACACAGACUAAGUAAGGGGCAGGGGGAAACGCUGAGCUCAAGGUGAGCGGGGCCAGCCAGGAAGGGAAGCCAGGAGGAGACACGGUUGUCCACCUCCUGUCACACACUCACUUGCCGUCCUGGUCUGUGCUCACAGUGACCUAGAGGGGACCCGACUUGGGCAUUGCUUCCAGCUACUGUUUAUUAAGCCAGCCAGAAUUAGGCCCUGUGCUAACGGCUUUUUCAGCAGUGUCUGAAUUGUUUUGGGAUGAAUGGUGACCCCGUCAGAUAGAUGCUGAGGUCUUAUCCCCGGUAUCUAUGAAUAUGACCUUAUUUGGAAGAAGGAUCUUUGUGGCAGAUGUCAUCAAGCUAAGACACGUUUGUAAGGGCCAGCCCUAACUCAGCAAGACUGGUGUCCUUACAAAAAGAUCAAGUUGGUCACGUGCACACAGGGAGAACACUGUGUGGUGACGGACGCAGUGAGCAGGUGCCGCAGCAGCCAGCUGAGGAUGCUGAGGUUGGCCCAGGACCUCUGGUGACCAUGAGGAGCUGGCACAGCUGGGAAAGGCGCCUCCUAUGGGCCUCAGAGGCAGCACAGCAGCCUUGAUCAGGGACUUCCAGCAUCUGGAGCUGAGGUGGCACGUUCCUGUGGUUUCAAGCCACCUGAUUUGUGCCUUGUUUCCCCCACAAGUUCAUUAUCCCAUCUGAGGUAGGUGGAGCAAAGGACCCCCAAGUCCCAAAUUUAAUCCCCAGAAUCUGGAAAAAUAGACUUUGCUGAUGGAAAGGGAAUUAAUGUUCCCUUGAAAUAGGGAGGUUAUUUGGUGAACCUCAGACAGGGACCACCAUGGGGACAAGGGACAAAUGCACUUCUAGGUCUUGGGUAUUGGCCUGAAAGCAGACCCCAGGAGGCUUGGUGUGCGCCAGCUUUGUAUCAUUGAGGUCAGGUGCCCUGUGUGCGCUCUUGAACAGCUGGGGUAACGGCACAGGGCAAGAUGCUUGAGUUAAGUACACAAAGCCAAUUAGUGUCCCCACCCCUGCAAGUAGCCCAUGAAACAGGUCCCCUUCUUUGGUUUGGGGAACCACCGUGACAUCUUCUCACUGGAGCCGUCUCCCUUCCUAAAGGGAAGCCCCAGGGAAGGUCUUGCCUGCACUUUCACUGAGCCGACUUGAUUUUGUUUCUACUGUCAUUGGGUGAAAAGACCCCAGCAUCCGACAUCAGACCCAUCUCAUCACCUGGGGCCUUUCAAAGCAGAGAACUCUCUUCAGCUGAAGCAGAAGCCAGGCGGCAGAGGCUCAUUGUCCUUGUUGGCUUUGAAAGUGGAGGAAGGAGCUGACAGAGGCUCCCUGCUGGUGGCCCUAACAGGAGAGGGGACCUGGGCUCUACAGCACAGGACAGAAUCUGGCAAGCACCACAGAGCCUGCGAGGAACAGGGCCCUGGCGACAUUACAUUUUGGCAGAGCUCACCCAGACUUCUGACUAUGACUGUGAGGUGGUAUAUUGCGUGAUUUGAAGCCCACAGUGUGUGGCGAGUUGUGACAGCAGCAAUAGGAAGUGACUUAACCAUCACAGGGGUAGCAACAGGGGUAGCAGCUCAGGCACAGCAUGAAAGGUGUUAUGGUUGGAUGUGAGGUGUCCCCCAAAAGCUCACAUGUGAGACAAUGCAAGAAGGUUUAGAGGAGAAAUGAUGGGGUUGUGAGAGUCUUAACCCAGUCAGUGGAUUAAUCCCUGAUGGGGUUAACUGAGUGGUCAUUGAAGUGAUGGAACGUGGCUGGAGGAGGUGGGAGUUCAGGCGUGGCUUUGGGUAUAUAUUUUGUAUCUGGAGAGUGGAUUCUCUCUCUCUCUCUCUCCACUUUCUGAUCAUCAUGUGAACUGCUUCCCUCUGCCACACUUUCCGCCAUGAUGUUGAGACUCACCUUGAGCCCCAAGGAUUAGAGCUGGCCUUCUGUGGACUAAGACUUGUGACAUCGUGAGCCUCAAAUAAACUUUUCCUCCUCCACAGUUGUUCUGGUUGGGUCCUCUUAGUGGCAGAGUGAAAGAGCUGACUAAACAAGAGGUUAGGUGAGCUUGCCCAAGUUCAGAGACGGAAACCCAGGUCUGCUGACCCCAAGUCCCCAAGGCUUGCCCAUUUGAAGCUAAAGAAUCUGUGGCAGUGGUAGGCAGUAGGUGAGCUGAGUCUGGAUUAGCGGCACUGGACGUGACAUGACAGGGAUCUGUGGUCCCUCAGGUUGAGAUGGCUGGUGGCUGACUCUGGUGGCGUCACAGAGAUGAUUGGGGUGGCAGAAAGUAGGUUCUGAGGACCAAGGCCUGGAAGAGCAGCAGAGCCAGCGCCGGAAAAAGCCAGAAAGGCAGCCGGGGCAGGCACAUCUACAGCAGGAACUCACCUGUCUCCAUCUUGAACAAGGGCUCCGUUUACCCCUCAGCCCCCUCAGAUGGCAGAAAAGGGGUGAGGGAGCCAGCCAUGGUGGCUGAGGGGCUGCCGGCACAGGCUCUGUUGCUGGCCCCUCCCAGGACCCCACACUAGCCUUGGGCAAGAAGGCAGAAACCAGGAGAUGUCAUUUCUUGGAGACAUGGCCACUGGGCGCUGGAUGGUAGCCAGGCUUCCUCUUGAGAACAGGUAUCAGAGACCGGCUGCCAGGGACCUGCUGGCAGUGACCACUCUGUCUAGUUCCUGGUGAACCCCGUGCUGUGAUGGCCUGGGGUGUGGAGGCCAUCACUGUGACAAGAACUGAUCCCAGCUGCACAUUUCAGAGGCACAGGCUCAACCCCAGGGCUCGGAACUUCAUUCAAGAGGAGACAUGAUUUAUAAUAGAUGUUUAUCAUCAUUGCCAUAUAUCCACAGAGCGCUGUCAAUCCAUAAAUCAACCACCUAGAAAUAGGCCCGAACUGCCAAAGAGUGGCCCUGGAAACCAACGCCAGGGGAGACAGUGCAGAGCUCCUGGUCAGGCCUAUCCCCCAUACUCGAAGGACUUCUCUGGCCUAGGUCUGGGAUGGAGGAAGUUCUCAGUGGUUGUGGGAGGAAUGUCUGCCCCCCUGAACUUGCCCUGACCACUUGUCCUGUGAGAGGGACUCCUACCUAGCACAGAGCCGCCAUAGGAGAAUACUCAGUUCAAUCUGAAUUUCACAAUUAAUUUUGUUCUAAUGCGUAUACGUACCGUGCAAUAUUUGCUCAUGUAAUGUCAGGGACUCAUUUAUACUAAAACUUUUUUAUUAUCUGGAAUUAAAAUUGAAUUGGGCAUUCUGCAAAAAAAUGAUUAAAAAAUAUUUUUAGUCAUAGUUUUUGGACAUAAUGCCUUUAUUUUAUUUAUUUUUAUGUGCUGCUGAGGAUCGAAGCCAGUGUCUCACGUGUGCCAAGUGAGUGCUCUAUCACUGAGCUAUAACCCCAGCCCUGGCUUUCUGUGUUUUUAUCAGCUAAAUUUGGCAACCAGACCCUCUGUGUUCUAAGUGGUGUUGUCUUAUUUAGAGACAAUGAGACCAACAAUCGUCUUUUAUUUCUGAUUUGAAGCAUAAAGGAGAUUUUUACAAAGAAAAUAAAUGGAUCCUUUCCUUGUCCACAGAAGAUAGCACAAAGGGGAUUUAAAACAAAUGAAGGCUUGGUUGGAUAAAAUGAAGAAUCUGCUGACUACAAAGAUGAGCUAACAAGGGAAUGACUUUCCGUGUGAUGUUGACGGACCUUUGGAAAAAAGAGAACAAACUCUCUGCCCCAGACAGCGUAAGCCACACCAGGAUCCACGGUGUUAGAGGUAAAUCCUGACAAUGGUUAAUCCAAUAGUCACAGCCUAAAAAUAAAGACACAGAAGCUCAAAAGGGUCGAAAGACUUGUCCAGGGUCACAGCAAAGAGAAGUACCAAGAAGUAAGGCCAGGGUUGGGAUGGGGUCCAGCAAGGGAGGUCUGAAUGCCCCUAGUCUGGAAAUGACACCAGAAAACAUGUAGUGAUCAUUAACCAGGAACCAAGCACUUCACUGAGGCACUUUAUCCAAUCUGCACAGCCUCUGUGAAAUAGGUCUCUGCAUUCCAUCCUCCCUUGGUACCUGUCUGUGGGUGCUGGUUCCAUGACCACCUAUAGAUGCAUCUGGAGAUGUUCCAGGCUCUGGUAUAAAAUGGCAGGGUGUUUGCAUAUAGCCUGCAUGCAUCCUUCCAGAUGCUGUAAGUUUUCUCUAGAUCUUUAAUACAGCAUAAAUACGCUGUAAUAGUUGUUCUGUCUUGUUUAGGGAGUAAUGACACACACACAAAGUCUACACAUGUUCAUUGCAGAUACAAUGUUCCCUCCACUUAUUGUCUCAUCUGCAGAUGUUGGAAGCUAUAGAUCUGGAAAGCCAACUUUGAUACCUCAUUCUGCAGAGGAGACUGUGGCAGGAAGGGCAGAUGUAGGGCCCACACCACAUCUGGACACAGGUGAGACCGGGAUACAUCCCCUCCCACCACCACAGGGAAAUACAACGCCAAAGCCACACUUCUUCCUGUGACCCUGCAAACUUGACCAAACUCUGUCUCCACAGCCCCCCAUUACCUUGGGGGUCAAAGAGGGCAAUCUCAAAGGGUCCUUGUGACUGAAAUGUGAACACUCAUUGAAGCCAUGAUUGUAGCUGCUUGGAACCUAGUGAGCACCAACGAAUGUCCUCCAGCAGGCACCCACUCCAUGCUCACGGGCAGUUGCUGUGGUUCUGCAAGUGGGGAGUCCCGAAGGCUCUGGAUGACCUGAUGAAAGGGCGGGUGGCAGGCAGAGAAGAGACAGGAAAACCCAGGGUCCUAAAGCUCCCGUUCCAGGGUGGUGGUGGUGAUGCCAGGAAGCAGGGAGGUGUUUAACUCUCGAGAAAUGUCAGCCCAGAGCCAGGCACUGAUUGGCUUGGGUG
rnacentral:lncRNA from 1 species